AAAAACAGGAGCCUAGGGGUCGACGGCUUAGGCCAAUGCAUUUGCUGCCAGCCAAAACCCUAGGCCAACACACCCACGCGAUCCGAUCUAGCACCCACGCUUGUAGUGAAUGGAAGAGCUUUGACUAAUGGCGACACCAACAGGCUCGGGGUUCGAUCCUCCUCCUCUGCAAGACAAUGGAGGCAACACCGGCGACAAGGAUCCUCGACCACCAUCGCGACAGAAUAUGGCAGGAGGAGGUGGGACUGUGAUGCGAUGCAAGAUACCGUCGCAAUCGUGAACAACAACUAAUGUAUGUUCACCAAAAACUCUCAGUAGAUUAGAUCUACUCAUCGUCGAGGGUAUUUACUAAUACAUAUUGAUAUUUUAGGGGUUUAGGUGUGAUCCUAGACACCCACAGUUUCUAUCACAAAGAACAUUUUCAUAAUGUUUUAAAUGCAGUAUGUGGAACAUUUUCAUGAUAUUUUAGUGGUUAUUUCUGAUAUGCAUGGGUAACAUGGUUACACUGAUAAGAAAGAUAAUUAGUUUUGGAACCUUCAAACUAUAGGGUACUAGUUAUCAACGUACUAGUGGUAUAGUACAAAUUAGGACACAUAUCAGCGCUUGAUCAUCAGUUUCUUCAAUGGUUUUAGGGGAACCGACAUAACAAAAUGGUACAUAUGUUUGCAUAGUGGGGGAGAUGGAAUUACAGCUGCUUGCCUAGAGGAGCUUUGAUAACAAAAUAGCAUUACCUACUCACUAUGAACUCAGAGGUUUCAAUAUCUUGGGCUUUCUUGGUGCUUGUAUUAGCAGACAAGAGCCCCAAGAAGGCUGGCUACGUCGUCAUCCUCGUGGAGUUCCUGCUGGCUCGGCUCCAGCUCCUCUUGCACUAGUAGUGAAGAAGGGUAGUGUCAAAAUAUUCAGAGAUUGUUGUAUAUCCAUCACCUCUAGUGUUAGCAUAGCCGUAUGCCAGCAUUUUUGGUAUUAUCGUCUGUUGUCGGAAACCAAAGAGUUGAUUUUUCAUGGAUAAAAGAUGA
rnacentral:lncRNA from 1 species